GAGAAGAACAAGAAGAAAAUGAAGGACAAAAUAAAAAAGAACAAGAAGAAAGAAAAAAGAAAGGAAAAUGAGAAGAAUUGAAAGAACUUUUGAAAUCAAACUUAUCAAAAUUAACUAGGUGAUAUUGUUUUUCCAAAUUAAGUUGUUUCUGACUAUCUUCUAAUUGAUAUAUGAUUUUGAUCCGAUUGACUUUAAUUGACAUCUGAUUACUUCUAUUAUUUUAUAUGUAGUUACCAUCUAUUUCUCUUUUGAUAGUCAUCUAAUUGUUAAUUGUUACUAAAUAGUCAUAUGAGUUUUUUGAUUGUCACUUGAUAAACUUUGGUUUGUAUAUAAUAGUUUGACGAAGCCUUUGAAGAACAAUAAAUGAACAAGAAGAUAAAAUUAAGGAAAAGGAAGAUAGAAGAGAAGAAGACUGGGGUUGUAUAGUAAAUAAUUAACAUGUUUGUAUGAAAUUUUGGUUUUUUGGUUUUUUUGGAAUAAAAAUGAUGUGUCUGUUUUGAUAAUAGGCUUAAAGACAUAAAACCCAACAAGAAGAAAGAAGAGAAGAAGAUAGCGAGAAAAGGACAAAGAAAAAUCAUGACAAAGGCAAAAACCCGAUUGGAGAACAUGAAACCCAAGAAUUAGAAACAACAAAAGAAGGAAAUGAAGACAAAAGGACAAAGAAAAACAUGACAAAGGCAAAAAACUGACUUUGUAGGUAAGGACACAACGUAGGUGGCAAAACUGGACGUCGCUCAAAUGACCAACCAUCAAACUCACUAUUAUAGGCAUAUGCAUUUUUGUAUCACCACGCUAGUGUUUUAUGGGUCAUGGUGUUUUGUAAAAUAAACUUUUUAUGUAGUUUACUACCUAAUUAAUAAAAUCUUAGAUAUGAUAUUUUGAGAUUUUUACCAAAAUUUCAUCUCAUAAUAGAAAAGUCUAAGCAUGCAUGUCGUAGUGGUCGGACCAUAAUAUGUAAGGAUCCGAUCGUUACAUUUGUAGACUUUGA